GAGGGUUUCCGAUUUGAAGGAACUUCUGGUGUGAUAUGUUGUUUUAAAUCUUAUCACAGCCAGUAGUUACCUACGAAAUGGAGCACCCAU
rnacentral:pre_miRNA from 1 species